GCGCCCGUAGCUCAGCUGGAUAGAGUAACUGACUACGAAUCAGGAGGUCAGAGGUUCGAAUCCUCUCGGGCGCGCCA
rnacentral:tRNA from 1 species